rnacentral:rRNA from 1 species
GAUUCUGGCUCAGGAUGAACGCUAGCGACAGGCUUAACACAUGCAAGUCGAGGGGCAGCAUAAAAGUAGCAAUACUUGGUGGCGACCGGCGCACGGGUGAGUAACGCGUAUGCAACCUACCUAUCAGAGGGGAAUAACCCGGCGAAAGUCGGACUAAUACCGCAUAAAACAGGGGCACCGCAUGGUGAUAUUUGUUAAAGAAAUUCGCUGAUAGAUGGGCAUGCGUUCCAUUAGGUAGUUGGUGAGGUAACGGCUCACCAAGCCGACGAUGGAUAGGGGAACUGAGAGGUUGGUCCCCCACACUGGUACUGAGACACGGACCAGACUCCUACGGGAGGCAGCAGUGAGGAAUAUUGGUCAAUGGGCGGGAGCCUGAACCAGCCAAGUCGCGUGAAGGAAAAGAAGGAUCUAUGGUUCGUAAACUUCUUUUGCAGGGGAAUAAAGUGCAGGACGUGUCCUGUUUUGUAUGUACCCUGAGAAUAAGGAUCGGCUAACUCCGUGCCAGCAGCUGC